GAUGAAGAACGUAGUGAAAUGCGAUAAGUAAUGUGAAUUGCAGAAUUCAGUGAAUCAUCGAAUCUUUGAACGCACAUUGCGCCCGCCAGCACUCUGGCGGGCAUGCCUGUUCGAGCGUCAUUUCAACCAUCAAGCCCCCAGGGGCUUGUGCUGGGGCCCUGCGGCUGCCCGCAGGCCCUGAAAACCAGUGGCGGGCUCGCUAGUCACACCGAGCGCAGUAGCACAUCUCGCUCAGGGCGUGCGGCGGGCUCCUGCCGUGAAACCCCCCACUGUAACCCCAAAGGUUGACCUCGGAUCAGGUAGGAGUACCCGCUGAACUUAAGCAUAUCAAUAAGCGGAGGA
rnacentral:misc_RNA from 1 species